rnacentral:rRNA from 1 species
UACACUCCUACGGGAGGCAGCAGUGGGGAAUAUUGGACAAUGGGCGCAAGCCUGAUCCAGCCAUGCCGCGUGAGUGAUGAAGGCCCUAGGGUUGUAAAGCUCUUUCACCGGUGAAGAUAAUGACGGUAACCGGAGAAGAAGCCCCGGCUAACUUCGUGCCAGCAGCCGCGGUAAUACGAAGGGGGCUAGCGUUGUUCGGAUUUACUGGGCGUAAAGCGCACGUAGGCGGACUAUUAAGUCAGGGGUGAAAUCCCGGGGCUCAACCCCGGAACUGCCUUUGAUACUGGUAGUCUUGAGUUCGAGAGAGGUGAGUGGAAUUCCGAGUGUAGAGGUGAAAUUCGUAGAUAUUCGGAGGAACACCAGUGGCGAAGGCGGCUCACUGGCUCGAUACUGACGCUGAGGUGCGAAAGCGUGGGGAGCAAACAGGAUUAGAAACCCUAGUAGUCCCAUG